GGGGGUGAACAGGGUUUCGAUGGACAGCAACAGGAAUGCUGCAGACAGAGUUCCAAGAACUCUUCAAAACUUGGAGCAGUAACAACUGCCAAUCCAUUUGCCCCUCAAAGGGCACUUGCCUACGCAUAAAAUGCUUAGGCCGCCUAUCCGCUGAUUCUCGGUAUACGGAAUAGGUGCCAACCAUCGAGAUAGAUAGCUCUCUUUAAGAUCAGGAGAACUAUUGAACCUUUCGAUCUUAAGGGAAAGGGAUUUUGUCCGGUUUUAACCCUUUCUCAACCUCAACCGGACUAUGCCUGAAGAUUGUAUUCCUUGACCUGUCCAGACGCGGGGUCGGUACCCGCCACCUCCACUU
rnacentral:tmRNA from 1 species